rnacentral:sRNA from 1 species
UACAUCAUCCUUCAACACAAUCUUCAGCCU